CUUUAAAAAAAAUCUUUUUCUCAAAAACUAAUCAACCAGACAAGCUGAAUCUUGUGUGGAUAACCCUUAGGUAGUGCUGAUUCAAGUCUAUUUUACUACCUUGUUCAGAAAGUUUGUUUGACUCCAUAAUUUAAACUGAUUUUUAAUGGCUGUCGUUACUCAGGUAAGCAAUGUGGCCCAUGGGCCUCUUGUUACUGAACUCUUUGCAAUGUUACAUUUGCAAAAAUAAACUUCCUAGGUAGUAUAUGAAAGUGACCAACAGCUAUAGCUACAUGUGUGGCUCUAUGUCCUGUCCCCUUAGGAUCUGUUCACUUCCUCAUACAACCUUUUGCGGUGUCUGUUGUAGUGGCUCAUCUUACAUCAAAUGGAAUGGAUCCAUGCCAGGAUUCACUUUUCCUUCCCAUGCUGGUUCCAGUCCAGUAAACUGUCACAGUCUGGGAAAUUCUGUCACUGGUGAUGCCGCAGAAAGAAAACACUAUGGAUGCACAUGAUGCUACUUCCUGAAUGGUGCUGAACCUGUUUGUCAACAUGUGGAACCCAUGUGUACUUGAGGGAGAAGUCUCCCUUGAUAAAGUUCAACAAUGGCGGAUAAACAAUGUGGGAUGCUGUCUUGUCAACAACAGUGAAAUUUGACACCUGUAUACCCGUAUUUCUACCAAUUGUCUCAGUCUUCUUUGUUGUGUACAUCAGACAGAUGAUGGACCACUCUACUUCUUUUGACAACAGGUGCCCCUACAGAUUCACAAAGUUCCAAUGUUGAAUGUCCAUGACCCUGGUUGAUCCGCGACAGGAAAAGGAAUAAAGUUGGCAGGAAUUUCCGCACUGUCUUUGGUAGCAGCUGAUGAUGGAACUGACAGCAGUUGACAUGGCCUGUUUCUUCAAAGAUGCACCAGAAGCAGCAGCACUAUCUCCAUCACUGGUGAAAUGGGAAAUGACAAGUGGACGGUCAUCACUUUGCAGCUCAACGAUGC